AUUGAACGCUGGCGGCAUGCCUUACACAUGCAAGUCGAACGGUAACGCGGGGCAACCUGGCGACGAGUGGCGAACGGGUGAGUAAUGUAUCGGAACGUGCCCAGUUGUGGGGGAUAACUGCUCGAAAGAGCAGCUAAUACCGCAUACGACCUGAGGGUGAAAGCGGGGGAUCGCAAGACCUCGCGCAAUUGGAGCGGCCGAUAUCAGAUUAGGUAGUUGGUGGGGUAAAGGCCCACCAAGCCAACGAUCUGUAGCUGGUCUGAGAGGACGACCAGCAACACUGGGGCUGAGACACGGCCGAGACUCCUACGGGAGGCAGCAGUGGGGAAUUUUGGACAAUGGACGCAAGUCUGAUCCAGCCAUGCCGCGUGCGGGAAGAAGGCCUUCGGGUUGUAAACCGCUUUUGUCAGGGAAGAAAAGGGCGACUCUAAUACAGUUGCCUCAUGACGGUACCUGAAGAAUAAGCACCGGCUAACUACGUGCCAGCCGCCGCGGUAAGAC
rnacentral:rRNA from 1 species